rnacentral:snRNA from 2 species
AUCUUUGCGCUUGGGGCAAUGACGCAGCUAGUGAGAUUAUACCGAGGUGCGUCAAUUGCUGGUUGAAAACUAUUUCCAAACCCCCUCUAUGGCCCUUCGGGGCCACUGAGAAUUUCUGGAAGGGAUCCCUCUCC